UAUUUCGAAAAUUUCAGAUUGAAAUGUUUUCAGAGAGAGAAGGUGGAGAACAUUUCACGGAGCACCGAACCUUCGAACCUUCGAGCCAGCCACCACAACUCUCGCCGGAUAUCCGCCGCCCGUAGACGUUGUCGUUGCCGUUUUCGCUCCAUCCAGUGCCGUCGUAGUGCCGUCGGUGUCCGUCGUCUUCCACCCAGCCAGGCAGUUCGGAUUGCGGGUCGCCGCAGCUCCGGCGUCGGCAGACGAAUCGAAGACGGCAUCGUCUUCCCUCCGGCCUAGCCAACCAAGGGCGCAUUUUGAGUAUCGAUUCCUCCCACCCGCUUCCUUCCCUGUGCCGGACCCUUGCGGUGGCCGCCGGAGCAUCGCCGGAGUGUCGUCGAAGUGUCGCCGGACCCUUUCAAGGUAUGGUUUAGUGUGGGUUGAAGUUGUGUAGAAGAUUUAGUGCCACCGGUGGAACUAUUCGCGAACCCUAUUCACGAUCCAACUUCAGAACAUGAUAUCUUUGCAAGCUCUUUUCUUGCUUAUUCAAUGUUUGCUUUGAGACUAGAAAUGAACAAAUUAUUUGAGGAUGUGUCUUCGUUUGUAAAUUGCCUUAGUCUUUCUUUGAUGCGAGAGAAGGUCAAACGCAAGAGAGUACAAGCAACAAAAGAAUCUGGUAGCAAACCGCAAGAUGCUAUUAAGCAGAACCAACAAUAGCCAGAUAUGACUGAACUCGCCAAGGGUCUCCCAAGUAAUUGGCAGCAUUCCCAAUUGGAUCCAUCAGACGUCUGAUAGGUGAAAAGUUUACUUGUUUUUGUUGCUUAUAUUGUGUGGCUUUUGAGUAAGUUUUAGUGUUUAUUCUCAUGAAAAGUGUAUAAUUGUUGAUAUAAGUAUAAUUUUGACUGUUUAAAUGUUUUUGAUGCUUUUGUUGUUUAUUUUGAUGUAAAAUAAGGAUUGAAUAUCAUAAAAGACUUGGACCAGGCCUAAUGGACGAUGUUUUGCCGAAAGUUUCGCGCCCGGGCGUGAGAAAAAGGGCUCUGGGCGUGAUUUUACCGAGAGGGUCGCGCCCGGGCGCGAGAUACAAAGGGGCCCCCGGGCGCCACUUAGAAGAAUUGAGACGCUCGUCCAGCGUGCAGAGGACGCUCGUCCAGAGUGAGGACGCUCGUCCAGCGCUCGUCCAACGCUCGUCCAACGCUCGUCCAGGGACGCUCGUCCAGCAGAGGUCGCUCGUCCGGAAGAGGACGCUCGUCAAGAGUGAGGACGCUCGUCCAACGCUCGUCCAGCGCUCGUCCAGCGCUCGUCCAGGGACGCUCGUCUAGCAGAGGUCGCUCGUUCGGCAGAGGACGCUCGUCAAGCAGGGGACGCUCGUCCAGCAGGGGACGCUCGUCCAGAAUAGGAGAGGACGCUCGUCCAGGGACGCUCGUCCAGGGUCGCUCGUCCAGGGACGCUCGUCCAGGGUCGCUCGUCCAGGGUCACAACAACGUCCUUCAUCUGAAACAAACUGAGCUCAAUGCAUUUCUAGAAGGCUUGUAUCCAACGCCAACAAACCGAAUAAACACUUCGUCCAUACCGGUCAUUCCACCGAACCCCAUUGAAGACAACAAAAUAAAGGACAUACUAAGGAAGCUUGUUAAUUCCUCAUGCCAACGUUAUCUUUCUCAACAUUGUAACUCAUCCAUUGCUCCAAGUUAAGGUGCAAAGAAAGACUAAUGUCUAAAGACAAACUUCCUAUAUCAAUGGAAAUUUUCUUUAUUUAGUA